rnacentral:rRNA from 1 species
UCCUCCCUCUUUCUUCGUGCCUAAUACAUGCAAGUUGAGCGCUGAAGGUUGGUACUUGUACCAACUGGAUGAGCAGCGCACGGGUGAGUAACGCGUGGGGAAUCUGCCUUUGAGCGGGGGACAACAUUUGGAAACGAAUGCUAAUACCGCAUAAAAACUUUAAACACAAGUUUUAAGUUUGAAAGAUGCAAUUGCAUCACUCAAAGAUGAUCCCGCGUUGUAUUAGCUAGUUGGUGAGGUAAAGGCUCACCAAGGCGAUGAUACAUAGCCGACCUGAGAGGGUGAUCGGCCACAUUGGGACUGAGACACGGCCCAAACGCCUACGGGAGGCAGCAGUAGGGAAGCUUCGGCAAUGGACGAAAGUCUGACCGAGCAGCGCCGCGUGAGUGAAGAAGGGUUUCGGAUCGUAAAACUCGGUUGGUAGAGAAGAACGUUGGUGAGAGUGGAAAGCUCAUCAAGUGACGGUAACUACCCAGAAAGGGACGGCUAACUACGUG